UUUUACUUGAGGUGAAUGCCAACUGAUUCUGAAAUAUCAAUAAUGGAGCAGUUCAAAUUGGAAUUUUUUGCAUAUUGAAGUUUGCUGUGUAGAUGCACCCAGGUAUAAGACCUUUUUUGUCUUUUAAAGAGACUAGAUUUUGUUCUGUGUACUUUGUUAUGUGGGUUGCUUUAGAUAAAUAUGAAGAUUGGCAUAUAUAAUAAAUAUUCAUAUUAAUUGGUUAUAUGCUGUUUUGGUUUUUAUUGUCAUUGUCAGGUUUAUGACUCCUACAAGAUAAUGUAGUUAGUGUUGCAGCAUUUUUUUCUUCUUCUUCAUCAUGUAUUAUCUUAAAGGCUAUGAACUGUUAAUUUUGCCCAUGGCUUUUCCCUAUCUGCAUCUCUGUAGCAGAAAUGACCGGUAUGCUCCAGGCAUAUAACACAUGUUCUCCCUGCUUGGUCAGUAUUCGAAAUCUUAUUUACUUAUAUGAGUUGCAACUUCAUAUUCUCAAAGUUCUACUUGGUUUCCCUUUUCCAUUGUAGCAUUUAUAUUGGCUCAUAGAUGAUUCUUAUUGAGUUAAAAUCACUCAAGGAGGUGAAAAACUUUAAAUAGAGGAUCUAUUCUACUGCAGAUACCCAAUCAAUAGCUAUGACAAGGAUGACAUUUGUCAAUUAUUCUUAGUGGUUUAACUGUUGCUAGAGAUAAAAUUCUUGUCAUCUCAAAUACCAGUGACUGUCUAUUUCCUCCAUUUGUAAUUGAGCGUCCACUGUGUUUGGUUCUGGCUCAUUACGUAUUCUAUAACCAGUAUUCUCUAGAGAUGGUACACAAGUACUCCCUGCUUGUUGAAUGUUUAAUUUCUUUUGUACUUACAUGAGUUGCAAAAUUUUAUCUGCUAAAUUUUGAAGUUUAGAUUAACGCAUAACAAGUGCUUUAGGGUCUUAAUUGGCAUUUUUGUGGGAAGUUAACAGUUCAGAGAUAGAGUGUUAAUAUUGUGGUCAGUAAUUACUCUUGGUAAUAUAAUUACUUUAUACGCCAUGUGAUCCACUCUUGGUAAUAUAAACGCUUUAUAUGCCAUCUAAUUCAUUUUCUUGUGUAAGUCUUGUUCAGCUGGAAUAGUAUUGCAGCUGGUGUUCAAUUAGCAAAAUUCUGGAAUGUGAAAAUCUGUGUGGCUCAAGUUCUAGGAGAUAUGGAUAGCUGGGAAGGUCUUACUUCUGUUAGUUGCUGAUAUAUAUACCAAAGAUAUGGCCACAUGAUUAUGAAAAGUAGAGAUCAUCAGUUUCACAGGAUAGUUUGACUUUUUCUUCAAACGUCAACGCUGUGGUUCAGACGAGGUUCCAUCAUCAUGAAAAGCUCAAGAAAAUUGUUUUGACAUGGCUGUUGCAUUCAAGGUGCUUGAGAGGCUUAUAUGGAAGUGGCCGUGCUAGAAGCUGGCCGUGGUUGCACUAUUGAUUAUAGAGCAAGCAGAUCUGGGGCCAUGUCAUGAUGUGGUUUGAUCUGGUACGUAUUGAUAUCUUAUAGCCUGACAUACACCUGCUUUCAGUUGAUACAUUUUAGUUUUAAUUUGAAGCAAGUUAGAUCAUUAAAUCUUCCAUUACGAUCAACUAGUUCGACAUUAAUUGAGAAAUCUUGAGACUU